rnacentral:lncRNA from 1 species
UUUUUUUUUUUUUUUUUUGGUCUUUUUGCCUUUUCUAGGGCUGCACCCAAGGCAUAUGGAGGUUCCCAGGCUAGGGGUCGAACCAGAGCAGUAGCCGCUGACCUACACCACAGCUCACGGCAACACCCGAUCCUUAACCCACUGAGCCAGGCCAGGGAUCGAACCCACAACCUUCUGGUUCCUAGUCGGAUUCAUUAACCACUGCGCCACGACGGGAACUCCCAUCAACAGUUUUCACUUUCCCCUGGGAGACUUCCUCAGUGACAUGGCUUCCUCAGUGCGGGCAUGGCACACCUUAGGGCUGGUGCUAGGGGGUGAAUGAAAAUGAGACCCUUUUGGAAUUCUCUAGAGAAUGUGAUAGUUCUUGCUCCUGCUCAGCUGGAGUCCAGAGGCUAUCCUGGAGACAGAGAAGGGGGAAGGAGGAAUAGCCGCUAUGUAGGGUGUUGGGGGGCGUGAGGAAAAGUAGCUGUGAAAAAUGACCCCAUCCCAACUCAAAUGGGGAUGAGCAAUACUUAUGAAGGCCUAGGGCCCUCUGUUGUAACAGAAGGAAGAAAAACAAGUUAAAUUAACAAAUUUUAUAUCUUUUUCUUUCAAAUUUUAUAUCUUGAUUCAUGGUCUUUCAUGAAGCAUUUAGUGACCUUAUGCUAUUGCUUUUUUUUUUUUUUUUUUUUUUUUUUUUUUUCUUUUUAGGGCCACACCUGCUGCAUAUGGAAGUUCCUGGGCUAGGGGCUGAAUCAGAGCUGCAGCUGCCGGCCUAUGCCACAGCCACAGCAAUGCAGGAUCCACGUAGCGUCUGUGACCUACGCCACAUCUUGUGGCCACAUUGGAACUCUAACCCACUGAGUGAGCAGAGAUCGAAUCUGCAUCCUCACAGACACUGUUGGGUUCUUAACCUGCUGAGCCAUGAUGGGAACUCCAACUUUAUGUUAUUUUAAUCUGGUUCAUAGCUAGAGGUUCAUUGCUUCACAGUAAAUAAAAACUAGAUACUUCUGGAAAAAAAAUAAAAUAGCAAAUUUUAUCUUAUAUACACAUACAUACACACAAUUCCAAAAACAAAAACAAAAACAAAAAACAAGCAAACACACACACAGAAACACAUAGACACAGCCCAGGGUAUGAAAGGAAAGGCUAGAGUCUAUCCAAAUAUUCUUCCAGGAGUUCCCGCUGUGGUACAGUAGGUUAAUAAUCAGGCUUAUUUCCAAUCAGAGGAGGUGCUGGUUCGAUUCCAGCCAGGCAGAGUGGGUUAAGGAUUUGGCAUUGCUGCAGCUGUGGCAUAGGUCACAGAUGUGGCUUGGGUUCGAUCCCUGGCCCAGGAACUUCCAUAUGCCGCGGGUGUGGCCUUAAAAAAAAGACCAAAACAAAACAAAACAAAACAAAAAAAACCCCACCAAAAUCCAGUAAUUUUUUGAUGUUCUAACUACCUGGUCUUUGUUGCAAAAACACCUCUAUAUCCUGGCCUCUCCUUUACCUCUUCAGAACAGUCCCUCAGAGCUAUCUCACGCUUAAGUCUUCAGUUUUGUCCGCCAAACAAAACACAAUUCUCAACUUUUAGGUUAUGCGUUUUUUUCCCCCCAGUGAACAGGGAUUUCUAGCAGUUGGAGUUCCGGGAAGGUGUUAACCGCUGCAGGGCACCCCCAAAUCCUGGUCCCCAUGAUGC